GGUCCCUACGGGGGGCAGCAGUGGGGGAUAUUGCACAAUGGGGGGAACCCUGAUGCAGCGACGCCGCGUGAGCGAUGGAGUACUUCGGUAUGUAAAGCUCUGUCAGCAGGGAAGAAAAUGACGGUACCUGACCAAGAAGCCCCGGCUAAAUACGUGCCAGCAGCCGCGGUAAUACGUAGGGGGCAAGCGUUAUCCGGAUUUACUGGGUGUAAAGGGAGCGUAGACGGAGGAGCAAGUCUGAUGUGAAAAUCCGGGGCCCAACCCCGGAACUGCAUUGGAAACUGUUUAUCUAGAGUGUCGGAGAG
rnacentral:rRNA from 1 species